rnacentral:tRNA from 2 species
AUUUAUAUAAUAUAUUUAGUAUAUUUGACUUCCAAUCAAAACGUUUAAACCAUUUUAAUAUAAAUA